GUCCGCCGCCGCGGAGCCCACCCGGGAGGCAGCCCCAGCUCCGCUCGAACCUGAGGCCAGGUGCCCUGCCCCAGUCACUCCCGAGAGAGGGGUCGUCCGGCCGCGGUGGAGGGCCCCGUGAUGGCGUGGGGACUUGCGUUUUCCCCUAUGCGCAUUCCCUGAAACGGAAACUGGACGUUUCCUCAAAUUUUUGUCAUGUGCCACUGCCCCUUCCCAGUCACCUGGUCUACCCCGUCAGCCCCUCAGGCUGUGUAGAAAUUCCAGAACCGUCACUGUUGUGAAGAAAAGAUGGUGGAAUCACCAGGACCACGAAUGGAAACGCUCUUUAGAAAAGCAGUUUGAAGAAACUGACUUUCUCCUUGUUCUGUAAAGUGCACAGGGCGGCACUGCGGGCAUUCAGAGGGAGGAGGGCCCUUCCUGUUUGAAAAAGCCCCAGGGCUUUUUCCCCAUACAGACCUGAUCACCUGGAUUAAAAUAAAACAAAAAUACACGGCAGCCAAGUAGUUUGUAUCAUGCUUAUAUCUCAGAUCACUAGAACCUGGCCUGAUGGGUUUAUAUGUUUGUAUGUAUUUUUAAAUGAAUAUUUUAAAAUAAAACUCAGUGAAAUCGUCACA
rnacentral:lncRNA from 1 species